GCCUACGGGUGGCUGCAGUAGGGAAUAUUGCACAAUGGGCGAAAGCCUGAUGCAGCAACGCCGCGUGUGCGACGAAGGCCUUCGGGUCGUAAAGCACUUUUCUGAGAGAUGAGAAAGGACAGUAUCUCAGGAAUAAGUCUCGGCUAACUACGUGCCAGCAGCCGCGGUAAAACGUAGGAGGCGAGCGUUAUCCGGAUUCACUGGGUGUAAAGCGCGUGCAGGCGGUUUGGUAAGUUGGGCGUGAAAUCUCCUGGCUCAACCGGGAGAGGUCGUUCAAUACUACCAGGCUAGAGAGCGGUAGAGGAAGAUGGAAUUCCCGGUGUAGUGGUGAAAUGCGUAGAUAUCGGGAGGAACACCAGUGGCGAAGGCGAUCUUCUGGACCGUUUCUGACGCUCAGACGCGACAGCUAGGGUAGCAAACGGGAUUAGAUACCCUUGUAGUCCU
rnacentral:rRNA from 1 species